UACGUAGGGCGCAAGCGUUUGUCCGGAAUUAUUGGGCGUAAAGAGCUCGUAGGUGGCGUGUCGCGUCUACCGUGAAAGCAUACAGCUCAACUGUAUUUUGUCGGUAGAAACUGCAGGUCUAGAGACCGGUAGAGGCCGGUGGAAUUCCCGGUGUAGCGGUGGAAUGCGUAGAGAUCGGGAAGAACACCCGUGGCGAAGGCGGCCGGCUGGGCCGGGUCUGACGCUGAGGCGCGAAAGCGUGGGGAGCAAACAGGG
rnacentral:rRNA from 1 species